rnacentral:pre_miRNA from 1 species
AGGAGGAACAACCGCAGUGGCGGGGCCAGCUCUGCAGCCCUGGAGUCAGCCCCCGCAGGAACUCCGGAGCUCUCGGUCUGCAGGGCCUGGAGGCUCCGGGCGGGG